GAUGAACGCUGGCGGUAUGCUUAACACAUGCAAGUCGAACGGACUCUUCGGAGUUAGUGGCGGACGGGUGAGUAACGCGUGAGAAUCUGGCUUUGGGUUCGGGACAACCACUGGAAACGGUGGCUAAUACCGGAUGUGCCGAGAGGUAAAAGAGAAAUUGCCUGAAGAUGAGCUCGCGUCUGAUUAGCUAGUUGGUGAGGUAAAGGCUCACCAAGGCAGCGAUCAGUAGCUGGUCUGAGAGGAUGACCAGCCACACUGGGACUGAGACACGGCCCAGACUCCUACGGGAGGCGGCAGUGGGGAAUUUUCCGCAAUGGGCGAAAGCCUGACGGAGCAGUACCGCGUGAGGGAAGAAGGCUCUUGGGUUGUAAACCUCUUUUCUUAGGGAAGAACAAAAUGACGGUACCUAAGGAAUCAGCAUCGGCUAACUCCGUG
rnacentral:rRNA from 1 species